UUCCACUGAGUUGUCUGCAAAAUACUUUUACCCAAAGGAAGUACUUGAAGCAGGUACAAUAAUAACAUUUAAAGACAUUUAGACAGGCACAUUGUUAUGAAAGGUUUAGAAGUGACAUGAAUAAAAAAGGUUUUUAGUUUUUAAUUAUGAAUGACAGAAACAGGAAGUGAUUUCCAGCAAUCACUACUGUGUCACCAAUUGUGUUUCCCUUGAUACACUGCCACAAUACC